rnacentral:rRNA from 1 species
UUUUCGUAGGUGAACCUGCGAAAGGAUCAUUAUCGGCACAUCCCAACACACAUCGUUCGAAAGGCGCGCCUCUUGGGCGACGCCGGAGCUUAGAAAGCAUGCGUGGUGGACGGCUCGGUUCCCGCGUCGAUGAAGGACGUAGCGAGAUACGAAAGGUGUUGCGAAUUGCAAGAUUUCGCGAGUCAAUGACCAUCCGAAUGCAUCGCCGCCCUCCCUUCGCCCUCGGGCGUGGGGAGGACGCGUCGGCGACAUCGCCCUGUGUGCAGCGCUCUCCUCCUUGAUCUCGGAGAGGCGGCAGUGGACGGACACCCGUCGGACAGGUCGGCGUGCCCGUUGAAGAGCUGCCCGUCGACGUCGCUCGGUCUAACGACCGUCGGCGAGAGACGCAUCGAAAGGUAAGUUGCGAUGUCGUCGGCGAGGAAACCCGCUGAACUUAAGCAUAUCAUUAAGCGG